UGCAAGGAGGCUGCUGCUCCUCAUCGAGUUUUCUUACUACUUUCUCCUUUUCUAAAGUCAACAACAUUGCUCAACCACUUUUCUUAGUUGUUACAUGUCCUCGAGUUUGUGUCUGUAUGCCCUUGUAUUGGAGAAAUAUCCCAUGAGUAAACUUGUCAUGCACCCUUAACACCAAGCUGCUGCACCUGCAGCUGAGCCAGCUCCCUGCUCAGCCUGCAGCGCUGUGACACAGGCUGGCGAUAUUGCCACUGAGCACUAACUUCUCAUACACAGAGACAGACAGAGAAAACCUUUUCAGAACCGUGGCAAGCCAAGAAGAUGCCAAGAAGAUGUAUGUGCCAGACACGGCCUGCAAACUACUAGUAAGAACACCUGCCGUCGACAUUCAGAGAUCUACCCUGAAGAUGAGUGCGAAGCCAUGAGGAAUAAACUGACAUAAGGAGCCUUGUUUUGUUAAUAUUUCUUAAAAUGAUCUACCUAACUACAUCUGUUUCUAACUAAGGUUUCUAAAAUGGUUUACCAACACAGGCGUCAUUUCUACAGGGUUAUAGUGAAACAAUUGGGACUGGGUCAUGCUAAUUCUCAAGCUUGAAAUGAUUGAUGCAGAGAGCCUGAAAGAUAUGGAGCUGCCUAAGGAGUGAUACGUUUAAUUGGACAUAUGUAUUUAGAAUGUUGUGUAAAGAUACAGGUGUGUGUACAUACACACAUGCAGGUUUGUAACCUCACCUUUGAGAUUUCAUUGCUUCUCAUUGGACCUGACACCAUAGCAAAUGUAUGAAUGUGAAAAUUUCCACCCUCCUUCUCCUAGUAUCUUAACAAGAAUGGCUACUUCAGUGCUUUCUGGAAUGAUUCCUUUGGGUAUAAACUUAGGAUUUUUAGAGUUUUUCAAAAUCAAAAAUCUAAGAACUGUAACAUCUAAACUAUGGAAGUUUUCCAGUGGAAAUAUUCUGCUUAUUGUUUUUUUCCAGCAUUUUUUCUUACCAUACAAAUUGUUCCUUAAAGCAACUAAAGUGCAACAGGUAAGGGGCAGGUGGACAAUUCCAAAAUACCAAGAAACUGAAGUUUCGUGUACGGAUUUUCCAUAAACUUGGUGGUGUUUAUGAGC